CACGUAGGGGGCAAGCGUUGUCCGGAUUUAUUGGGCGUAAAGAGCUCGUAGGCGGCUCGGUAAGUCGGGUGUGAAACCUCCAGGCUCAACCUGGAGACGCCACUCGAUACUGCCGUGGCUAGAGUCCGGUAGAGGAGCGUAGAAUUCCUGGUGUAGCGGUGAAAAUGCGCAGAUAUCAGGAGGAAUACCAGCGGCGAAGGCGGCGCUCUGGGCCGGUACUGACGCUGAGGAGCGAAAGCGUGGGGAGCAAACAGG
rnacentral:rRNA from 1 species